GUUGUUAGUUAUUAUUUUGCCUUAGCUUUAGUAGCCAAAAGUAAUAUAUACAAAAUAGCAAAAAUACAAAAUAGAAAAGUGAAAUAAAAAAAAGGGCGCCCUGCUUUUACAACGAGAAUAAAAAGUGAGUUUUUAGUGGUUUCGCCCAUUUCGUGAGUGACAACGUGCUUCUAACCAACUUUCGAGUGGUCAACAGAGCCGAGGCGCAACUUGCGGAGCUAUUUCACAAGAAUUUGUAAAAAAGGAGAUAAUCGUUCCAACGAGGUGUUGAUAUUGACAAAAGCUGGCUUACCAUUAAACCAGCUCACUAACGCACGCUCAAAGAUAAUUACGAGCCUUGCAAAGCAGAAAUAGUGCAAAUACUUAAGCGCCGAAAGCAUAUUAGCCAUAAUUGGCCAACGUACUUAAAGGAGUCAAAUAGUCGAGAGCAAAUAGCGGACUUAUUAUAUUGAAUAACUAAAGCAAUUUUUAGAGAAUAAACUACGAGUGAUU